rnacentral:rRNA from 1 species
CAGCCGCCACGGUAAAACGAGGGGUGCAAGCGUUAUUCGGAUUGAUUGGGUGUAAAGGGUGUGCAGACGGCUUAUUAAGUCACUUGUUAAAUUCUUCGGCCUAACUGAAGGUCUGCAAGUGAUACUGAUGAGCUAGAGGGUGGAAGAGAGAAGUGGAAUUCUCGGAGUAGCGGUAAAAUGCGUAGAUCUCGAGAGGAACACCAAUGGCGAAGGCAGCUUCUUGGUCCAUCCCUGACGUUCAUACACGAAAGCGUGGGGAGCAAACAGGAUUAGAUACCCGCGUAGUCCCUGUCUCUUAUAC